rnacentral:rRNA from 1 species
GCCUGGCGGGUGCUAUACUGCAGUCGAGCGGACAGAUGGGAGCUUGCUCCCUGAUGUUAGCGGCGGACGGGUGAGUAACACGUGGGUAACCUGCCUGUAAGACUGGGAUAACUCCGGGAAACCGGGGCUAAUACCGGAUGGUUGUUUGAACCGCAUGGUUCAAACAUAAAAGGUGGCUUCGGCUACCACUUACAGAUGGACCCGCGGCGCAUUAGCUAGUUGGUGAGGUAAUGGCUCACCAAGGCAACGAUGCGUAGCCGACCUGAGAGGGUGAUCGGCCACACUGGGACUGAGACACGGCCCAGACUCCUACGGGAGGCAGCAGUAGGGAAUCUUCCGCAAUGGACGAAAGUCUGACGGAGCAACGCCGCGUGAGUGAUGAAGGUUUUCGGAUCGUAAAGCUCUGUUGUUAGGGAAGAACAAGUACCGUACGAAUAGGGCGGUACCUUGACGGUACCUAACCAAAAAGCCACGGCUAACUACGUGCCAGCAGCCGCGGUAAUACGUAGGUGGCAAGCGUUGUCCGGAAUUAUUGGGCGUAAAGGGCUCGCAGGCGGUUUCUUAAGUCUGAUGUGAAAGCCCCCGGCUCAACCGGGGAGGGUCAUUGGAAACUGGGGAACUUGAUUGCAAAAAAGGAAAGUGAAAUUCCACGUGUACCGGUGAAAUGCGUAAAAAUGUGAAGGAACACCAUUGGCGAAGGCAACUCUCUGGUCUGUAACUGACGCUGAGGACCAAAAGCGUGGGGAGCGAACAGGAUUAAAUACCCUGGUAGUCCACGCCGUAAACGAUGAGUGCUAAGUGUUAGGGGGUUUCCGCCCCUUAGUGCUGCAGCUAACGCAUUAAGCACUCCGCCUGGGGGAGUACGGUCGCAAGACUGAAACUCAAAGGAAAUUGACGGGGGCCCGCCCAAGCGGGGGGAACAUGGGGGUUAAUUCGAAGCAACCCGAAAAACCUUACCAGGUCUUGAAUCCUCUGGAAACCCUAAAAAAUA